UGUGACCAAGUCGUAAUUCGUCCAAUACCGUGGACACGGCUACCCGGAUAGGUUUUAACUCUGCAGAGGGUGUACACUUUUCCCACAAGUAGGGUACCGUAGCACAAUCACCUUAGUGACGGUACGGAUCCUAACAAAGCCAUUACCCACCUUAGCUAAGACUGGCUAGUUCUCGCGGAAACACCCAAGGGGUUCACGGCUCGUUCAGGAGACCGUAACCGGGACUUAAGUCACCAAGAUCUUACUCCUGUUCCAUGGGUUCCCGUUGCUCACCAGCACCCCUGAGGACUAACCAUCCAGCUAGUGGGAUUUAUGCUAAGCCGUUGCCCAUACAACGGUCGAGUGGUUGCACGAUAGUGGAAUUAGGCAAGAUGACACAUCAACUCGGUCCUUAAUUAUGACCGGAUGGAUAUCUCCCGACAUUGCUCAACCACCAAGGUACGAGCACAGCAACUGGGCAUCCCACACAAGGAACACCCAUCCAUCCCGUCCACACAUUCCUUUUUCCCGAACCCAAAAGCCAUUCCUCUUACUUGGACACACACACACAUUGAUUUUCCGAGUACACCAUUGUAAUAAUGAUUGCAUUUGAGUAACAGAUUCCUAAGCGUUCUAGCGGCGGUUAUCAACUAAACAGAGCGAGUCAUAUUUAGAGAUAAGCAUAGGACAACAAGGAAUGUUCAUAUCAAUCAAGGGGUGGCUAUCCAACCAUGUCUUGCGAUAAAGUAAUAUGCAUUUUGUAAAAAAGGCCAAUAGGUUGUGUUUGAAAAACUAGGUAUUAAGUAUGCAUCAAAAGGGUGAGAUUGGACUUGCC
rnacentral:lncRNA from 1 species